CUGGGUCUGGCCUGGGGUGAUACAGGAAGGCCACCUGGGUGCUAGUCAUGGACAGAUGUUUUCUGGCCCUCCAGGAGGGGUGACUCUUGCCUCUCCCUGGAGCAGACAGCUGACUGCACCUGCACCACCUUCCCCACCUCCCUGUCUCCCCUGCCACCCGUGGGGUCAGGUUUCCAGCAUGACCUUCCCAGCCCCUUCUUUGUAUUUGGUCACAGUCAAUCCCCGAAGAAAACGAAGAUAUCACCUUUUACAAAAAGCGAAAAACCAGGUUGGAUUCCCUCCUCGGUCACCAGCAGAGCUGA
rnacentral:lncRNA from 1 species